CGUUCCUGCAUUCCCUAGUACGGCGAGUGAGAGGGAAAAGCUCAAAGUUGGAACCUGGCUGUCUUAGAUAGUCCGGAUUGUAAACUAAAGAGCGUGAAUCCAGGCAAGCCGGUUGACAAAGUCCUUUGGAAUGAGGCGCCACUGAGGGUGAGAGCCCCGUAAGUCGACUGAGCAUUUGUCUUUUGUGUUUCGCGUUCAAAGAGUCAGGUUGUUUGGGAAUGCAGCCUAAAGCUGGUGGUAAAUCCCACCUAAAGCUAAAUACAGGCGAGAGACCGAUAGCGAACAAGUACCGUGAGGGAAAGAUGAAAAGUACUUUGAAAAGAGAGUUAAACAGUAUGUGAAAUUGCCAAGAGGGAAGCAUUUGGAGUUAGACUGACUUGAAGUCAAUCAACUUGGUCUUUGGACUGGGUGUACUUGGCUUUUAUGUCUGCCAACAGCAGUUAGUUCUGGUGGAAAAAACUAGAGGGAAGGUAGUCCUUCGGGAUGUUUAUAGACCUUUAGAAAAUACACUGGGACUGACUGAGGAAUGCAGUAGAUGCUAUUAGGCUUCGUCUUGUGGGUGUUGGGUAAAGGUACUAGGUGUUUUCAGCUUGCUGAUGCGCAUUGUGCCCGAGUCCAUCCACUCACAAGUACUGUAAUCUACUUUGGUUGUUGGCUUAAUGACUCUAAAUGGCCCGUCUUGAAACCC
rnacentral:rRNA from 1 species